UAUAUUUGACACCGUUGACUUUUCUACAAAAGUUUGACCAUUCGUCUUAUUCAAAAAAUUUAUGCAAAUAUUAUUUAUUUUGUUAUGAAUUGGUUUAUCACUAAAGAAAUUUUAAGCCUAUCUUUUAUUUUCUUAUAUUUGCACAAAUUUUUUGAAUAAGACGAAUGGUUAAACUUUUGUAGAAAAGUCAACGGUGUCAAAUAUA
rfam:Leersia perrieri chromosome 8, whole genome shotgun sequence.